UACGUAGGGCGCAAGCGUUAUCCGGAAUUAUUGGGCGUAAAGAGCUCGUAGGCGGUUUGUCGCGUCUGCCGUGAAAGUCCGGGGCUCAACUCCGGAUCUGCGGUGGGUACGGGCAGACUAGAGUGAUGUAGGGGAGACUGGAAUUCCUGGUGUAGCGGUGGAAUGCGCAGAUAUCAGGAGGAACACCAAUGGCGAAGGCAGCUCGCUGGGACGGUACUGACGCUGAGGCGCGAAAGCGUGGGGAGCAAACAGG
rnacentral:rRNA from 1 species